rnacentral:misc_RNA from 1 species
GAUGAAGAACGCAGCGAAAUGCGAUAAGUAAUGUGAAUUGCAGAAUUCAGUGAAUCAUCGAAUCUUUGAACGCACAUUGCGCCCGCCAGUAUUCUGGCGGGCAUGCCUGUUCGAGCGUCAUUUCAACCAUCAAGCCCCAGGCUUGUGUUGGGGACCUGCGGCUGCCGCAGGCCCUGAAAACCAGUGGCGGGCUCGCUGUCACACCGGGCGUAGUAGAUUUUAUCUCGCUCAGGGCGUGCUGCGGGUCCCGGCCGUUAAAAGCCUUUUUUUACCCAAGGUUGACCUCGGAUCAGGUAGGAAGACCCGCUGAACUUAAGUAUAUCAAUAAGCGGAGGA